rnacentral:rRNA from 1 species
GACAGAGGGUGCAAGCGUUGUUCGGAAUCAUUGGGCGUAAAGGGCGCGUAGGCGGUUUGAUAAGUCAGAUGUGAAAGCCCAGGGCUCAACCCUGGAAGUGCAUCUGAUACUGUUAGACUUGAGUGCCGGAGGGGGUGGUGGAAUUCCCGGUGUAGAGGUGAAAUUCGUAGAUAUCGGGAGGAACACCCGUGGCGAAGGCGACCACCUGGACGGACACUGACGCUGAGGCGCGAAAGCGUGGGGAGCAAACAGG